UAAAUUUUAGAAAUAAACUGAACACACCCGAUCUCGUCUGAUCUCAGAAGCUCAGUAGGGUCGGGCCUGGUUAGUACUUGGAUGGGAGAAAUAAAUUGUAAAUUUUAC
rnacentral:rRNA from 1 species